rnacentral:lncRNA from 1 species
CCUGUGCCUCCUGCUCCUCCACCAUCUGAUCCAAGAUGGGCAUCAGCCAAUCCUCAAACUUGCAGUAGUUAUCAUUGGGCACCAGCAGGUUUCCAAUCCGGUUGAUGCCGUUCUGGCGCAGCUCUCUGCCCUUCAGGCUGAAGUCCCCCACGUAGGUGGGUGCCAGGCACUUAAUGAGGUCCUCCUCCACGCCGCCCGCCGUCGUCACCACCACAUCCACCAUGCGGUGCUGCACGAGGAAGCGGAUGCUCUCCCGCACCCCGGAGCUGAUGAGGUUGGAGGUGAAGCCCAGGAAAAUGGUGCAGCCCGAAGCCGCCCCCCCGGCGCCCCCCAACUCAGCCCGGCUGCGCUCCGCCGCGCUCAGCGGCUCCAUUUUGGCCGAGAUCAUGCGGCGGAUCUCGGCGACGGCCCGAGCGAAGCUCGUGGCCUGGAAGCCCGUGGUGAGGAACGAACGCAGCACCGCGCCGGGGUCGGGGCCGUCCGCGAAGUCGUAGCCGCGCACCGGGAGGGUCGGCGAGGGGAGCGGAGCGCUGCGCUUCAACACCGCGCGGAGGGCGGCGGCGGGGGCCUCCCCCUGGGGGGGCUCCUCCGCCGGGCCGCCGAGCUCCGUGGGCCCCAUGGGCGCCGCCAUCUCGGGCCGCCCCCUUGCGCCUGCGCGGUGGCGGAGCCGUACGGCCCCGUGACGACAUGUUGUUAUAGGGACGUAACGCGGAGCGCCGCCAUCUUGUUGUACGGCGCGGCCGUACGGCUGGGCGCCGCCAUCUUGAAGCGGGAACAGUGGCCGCAGUGGGACAGAAGCCGGCAGGCAGCGAAGCGGCAAAGCACAGCGAGUUCUUUCUAAACCCCAACCCCAAAUCCUGAUACCCCCAAACACCGAAACCCCAAAUCCCGACCCACUGCGGCCAAACCCCCACUCCUAACCCCCAUAACUCCAAACCCUGACCCCAAAUCGCAAACCCGCAGCAUCCCACCCCCCCCCAGACAGACCACAGCCACGCACCUCCAGCCAAAUCCCUUUAAUUCCUGCACCAAGGGCCCCUCUGAGCCCGUGGGGACCCCUCUGAGCGCCUGGGGGGGGGUCCCCAUCUUCGGCCAUGGGGUGGGGUUGAGGGGCACAGCCCCCAGUCCUGGGGGGGAGGGGGGAUGGGUCACACGGCCACACUCAGCCUCCAAACUUCCACACCUCCACUGAGAGACCCCCCGAGGCAGCCGCCACCACGUCGCCCUCCACGCUGAUCUGAGAGGGGGUAAAUGGGAGGGGGAGGGGGGUCAGGGGGGGAUCCAGGAGGGGAAAUGUGUGACCCCCCCUCCCCUCUUACCCCAUUGAGAACAUCGUCGUGUGUCCAGGAGCAGAUGGUGCGGGGGGGGUCCGUGGGGACGUGGAUCUGUAACGCAGAGGUGUCAUUUCCUCCUCUCCCCCCCCAUUACGAUAUUAUUGGGGGGGGGGAGAGCACCAUGUGGACCCCACACAUCGCAACCCCCCCCCCAAUCCCAGGGCAUGAUGUGGGGUGUUGUGGGGGGGGUCCCUCACCCUCAUGGUGCGGUCGGUGGAGGUGGUGUACAAAGAGCCCUCAUUCUGCCACAGCCCCGUGAUCUGCAGGCGGUGCCCCACAUCGAAGCGCUGCAAUGGGGGCAGUGAGGGGGGGCUUAGAGCCCCAAAGACCCCCCCCUCCCCCCCCCAAGCCCUAUAGACGGCCCCAUACCCGCUCUGCCCGGAAGCGGCCGUCGCUGUUCCCGAAGACGUGGACCCGGCCCUGGUUGUCCCCAGCCCAGAGCUGUGUUCCCCGAUAGGACAUGGAGAGGAGCCCCACCUGCAGGCGCUGCAGGACGCCGUCAGCACGGCGGUCGAUGACCACGAGGGUUCUGUCUUCACUCCCGGAUACGAUGAGGCGAUCGUCGGCUGCCAAAGCCAACACUGCACUGCUGUGGGGUUCCUGUGAUGAUGGCAUCGGGGCAGAAGGAGAGACACAGCACUGCUGCCCUCUCCCUGUAUAAGGGGGAGGGGGGAGAAGGUCCCACAGCUUCACGGUGCUGUCCCAGGAGCCCGAGCACAGCGUGGUCCCAGCGGCAGCCAAACACCAAACCCAGCCCUGUAAUGG